AGGAGGAGAAAGGGGGGAGGGAAGGGUAAACGGGAAGGGAGGAGGGGUGGGAGGCGACGGGCGACGCCGCUCGCGAUGGGAGUUGGGGCGAAGGCGACACGUGGCGCCACUCGCCGUGGUUGACUGAUGCAGCGCAAGGAUGUUUUUAUCAAGUGAUAAAAAAGGAUCAGUCCAAGAUAAAAAUUAAUGACGGAUAUUUUAGAAUAAAGCAUGGCUUCUAACCUCGAAAAUGAUUGGUUUGGUAAUUAGUAUAAGUUAUCAAAAGGAGGCACGAAUAAUCCUUCUACCCACCCGUCUACCACCGCACCGUUCUCUUCUGGUGCUGAUUGAUGGUCGGUCCCGCUGCUGGCCUUUUGGUAGAUUCGGCGGUACGAAUAUAUGGGGCAUAGUAUGGAUUGCUCUUAAAGGAGCCAUGUGGUUAUCUGGGAGGGUGGUGGCCCAGAGAUUCUAGCCGUCCGAUUUUGAUUUGCCGGUGAUUUGCAAUACCUUGUAUAAUUCCUCGGGAGCCGCCUUCCUUGCCCUUCUCCCUCUAGCUACUUCGAUCGCCGAGAUAUCGUAAACACCACGCUCCGCUGCUUCAGCCAUGGAGAACGACGACGACGCCCCGCCUCUCGCCGUCCGAAUUGGAAAAGAACCCGAGAGUAAUCCUCCGGAACGUUCCUACCGUUCCCAAAAUGUACAGCGGGGAACCUCGGAGGAAUCUCCGGUCGGAGUCACUGUCAUCACUGGGUACCUCGGCGCCGGCAAAUCCACGUUAGUUAAUUACAUCCUGAAUGCGCAACAUGGAAAGAAGAUUGCCGUGAUAUUGAAUGAGUUUGGAGAGGAGAUAGGAGUAGAGAGGGCGAUGAUCAAUGAGGGUGAAGGUGGUGCGCUUGUGGAGGAAUGGGUGGAGUUGGCCAAUGGCUGUGUUUGUUGCACCGUUAAGCACAGCCUUGUACAAGCUCUGGAGCAGCUUGUUCAGCGGAAAGAAAGACUCGAUCAUAUAUUGUUGGAGACAACUGGACUGGCUGAUCCUGCUCCCCUUGCCUCUGUUCUUUGGCUGGAUGAUCAGCUGGAGUCAGAAAUUACUCUUGAUUCUAUAAUCACAGUUGUGGAUGCCAAAAACUUACAACGACAGCUUGAGGAGCAUCUUAAGUCUUCUUUCUUUCCUGAAGCAUUCCUUCAGAUAGCAUUCGCUGAUGUCGUGAUUUUAAACAAAGUUGAUUUGGUCUUGCAAGAGGGUUAUGGGCUUGAUACUUCAUCCAUAUUGGAAGAACUGGAAAAGAAGAUCUAUGAUAUCAACUCACUUGCCACUGUCAUACAUAGUGUUCGUUGCCAAGUUGAUCUGUGUAAAAUUUUGGAUCGGCAGGCCUAUGGUGCUAAGAAUAUAGCUCAUCUGGAGAAACUUUUAGAAGACAGUAAAUCUACAUUUAGCAGAAGCCGUCAUGAUAACACUCUUCGCACAUUGUGCAUUUAUGAGGAGCAACCAGUUGAUUUAGAUAUGGUAGGGUCUUAUUUACCAGCAACAUGGGUGCCUGUUUCUUUAGUUCUGGUUCGUUCUUGGCUAGAGGAUCUUCUUUGGGAGAAGAAAUCUAAUAUGGAUGUCUAUCGCUGCAAAGGGGUUUUAAAUGUCCUCAACUCUGAUCAACUUCAUACUCUCCAGGCAGUCAGAGAAAUAUAUGAGAUUGUACCAGCUCGCAAAUGGCAUCAAGGAAAAAAGCAAAUGAGCAAGAUAGUUUUCAUAGGUCAUAAUCUGGACAUUAGCAUUCUUGCUGAUUCUUUCAGAUCUUGCACAGUUUUGACUUGAUAUGCACCUGGAAUGCUAUGCAAUUAAGCAAGGAUUCCACAAGUCUUCAAAUUUCUUAGUUAUACUUACCAGUCUCAAGCCUUUCCAAUGUUGCUAUUACACCCAACAAAUUGUUACUUUUGGGCAAUCAAGUGAAACCCCAAGCACCAGUGUGCAAGAUUCAUGCUCGGAGAAAUCUCAUUUAUAUAUAUAUGGUGAAACUCGUAAGCUUAGGAUGGAAGAUGGUUGAAGCAAUGUACCUCCCAUGAGAGUGAAUGUUCUAUUGUUGUUCUAUCAGCAUAUAUGUAUUCACUAAUCAUGCAGGCAUAGCAGUGAGCAUUUCUGAAUGUUUAAUAGCUAGUGCAAAAUUUAAGCUCUGAUCAUAUAUCAAAAUCCUAAACCCAGUAUGGUCAUGCUGAACCCAACUGGAUCCAAGUUUUAUACUUUAUACCUA